rnacentral:rRNA from 1 species
GACGAACGCUGGCGGCGUGCCUAAUACAUGCAAGUAGAACGCAGUUGCGAACGGGUGAGUAACGCGUAGGUAACUGCCUGGUAGCGGGGGAUAACUAUUGGAAACGAUAGCUAAUACCGCAUACUACCAGAUGGACCUGCGUUGUAUUAGCUAGUUGGUGGGGUAACGGCUCACCAAGGCAACGAUACAUAGCCGACCUGAGAGGGUGAUCGGCCACACUGGGACUGAGACACGGCCCAGACUCCUACGGGAGGCAGCAGUAGGGAAUCUUCGGCAAUGGACGAAAGUCUGACCGAGCAACGCCGCGUGAGUGAAGAAGGUUUUCGGAUCGUAAAACUCUGUUGUUAGAGAAGCGGUAUCUAACCAGAAAGCCACGGCUAACUACGUGCCAGCAGCCGCGGUAAUAC